rnacentral:rRNA from 1 species
AUUGAACGCUGGCGGCAGGCCUAACACAUGCAAGUCGAGCGAGCGGCGGACGGGUGGGUAAUGUAUGGGGACUGCCCGUUAGAGGGGGAUAACUACUGGAAACGGUGGCUAAUACCGCAUACUAUCGGAUAACCCAUAUGGGAUUAGCUAGUAGGUGGGGUAAAGGCUCACCUAGGCGACGAUCUCUAGCUGGUCUGCGAGGAGGAUGGGCAACACUGGGACUGAGACACGGCCCAGACUCCUACGGAGGCGGCAGUGGGGAAUAUGGCACAAUGGGGGAAAGCCUGAUGCAGCCAUGCCGCGUGUAUGAGGAAGGCCUUAGGGUUGUAAAGUAUGUUCAUCGGGGAGGCGUUACCCGCAGAAGAAGCACCGGCUAACUCCGUGCCAGCCGCCGCGGUAAUUC